GACGAACGCUGGCGGCGUGCUUAACACAUGCAAGUCGAACGGAAAGGCCCUGCUUGCAGGGUACUCGAGUGGCGAACGGGUGAGUAACACGUGGGUGAUCUGCCCUGCACUUCGGGAUAAGCCUGGGAAACUGGGUCUAAUACCGGAUAGGAGCCAUUUUUAGUGUGAUGGUUGGAAAGUUUUUUCGGUGUAGGAUGAGCUCGCGGCCUAUCAGCUUGUUGGUGGGGUAAUGACCUACCAAGGCGGCGACGGGUAGCCGGCCUGAGAGGGUGGACGGCCACAUUGGGACUGAGAUACGGCCCAGACUCCUACGGGAGGCAGCAGUGGGGAAUAUUGCACAAUGGGCGCAAGCCUGAUGCAGCGACGCCGCGUGGGGGAUGACGGCCUUCGGGUUGUAAACUCCUUUCGCUAGGGACGAAGCUUUUUGUGACGGUACCUAGAUAAGAAACACCGGCUAACUACGU
rnacentral:rRNA from 1 species